rnacentral:rRNA from 1 species
CCCUUAGAUGUUCUGGGCUGCACGCGCGCUACACUGACGCACGCAACAGGUGCCUGCUCCGAGAGGACUGGGUAAUCAUUUGAGCGUGCGUCGUGAUGGGGAUAGAAUAUUGUAAUUAUUACUCUUCAACGAGGAAUUCCUAGUAAGCGCCAGUCAGCAGCUUGCGCUGAUUACGUCCCUGCCCUUUGUACACACCGCCCGUCGCUCCUACCGAUGGGUGAUCCGGUGAAUGAUUCGGACUUCAGCGGCUCCCCUGGGGUGCGCCGGAGAAAGUUUUGUGAACCUUAUCACUUGGAGGAAGGAGAAGUCGUAACA